ensembl:lncRNA
CUUUUUUACAUGCUCAAAUACAGUUUGAAAACAUAUGUACAACGGAGAUUCUCUUACUCAAACAACUGCUUACAAGUAAACAUAUCACUUUUCUUCCUUUUGAUUAUUUUACUUUAUUUAUCUUAUUCUUUCUCACCAACUCUUUUUUUUUUGUUUUGUUUUCUUCUUUUUUUGGUGGAGCACUUCUGAAUUUUAACUCUGAAUCUUGUAACACAGUUCAUCUUUAAUUCUGGCUAUAAAGAGAGGCAUGUAAAUGCUGAACGCUUUUAAAUAUAAUACGUAGUAUCUCAGAACAAGAAUCCAAGGACAACUAGCAAUAGCAUGACAGAGCAAUAAGGCUGGGUCUCAACUUCCUAACAAACACUACUAGCAAUUUCAUGGACCAGAUAAACACAAUAUUAUAGUCGACUGUGUUUACUCAGUCAUUGACUCCAUAUGAAGUACUGCUAUUUUGGCAUUGGCUUUGCUAAGAACAAAGAUAUUAUGGAAAACCUGACUACAAAAAGGUCUCCUCUGCAGCUGUCCUCUCUUCUUUUUAAUGCUGUUCUCCAGCCAAAAAAACAUCACGUGAACAUGGGAAAAAUAGACAAACCAUGGAAGGCUCCAGCACCCUCAGGGCAGGACUCUGCUCACACAUGGCCACGGUUAUACCUUCCCACUUGUGUGCAUUGUACUUACCUGAUGCAUAAGCUCUUUGGAGGAGGAGUUGAUCCUCAUCCCAGAAAGGAGUUAUGAAGACUACUCUCAUCUGAUCCACAAGCAAUAUUUGCACCAAAAAAAAAAACAACAUUUCACAUUAAGUUGUUUGACCUCCUACAUCUUGCCUCUGUUUCUCUCCCAGUAUUUCAGAAGUGUGAAUCCCCUUGGGUCAUUCUCAGUGUGAGUAAUUAGUGGUACACUAAGU